ACUUUAUUUAACGUCGCACAUACACCGACACAUGUGAUCUGGGUGCCUGAAUAGCAAGAAUUUUCGGGUUGAUUCAUGGGGUGUAUGGAGGCCUAAC
rnacentral:sRNA from 1 species